rnacentral:rRNA from 1 species
UACAGAGGUCUCAAGCGUUGUUCGGAAUCACUGGGCGUAAAGGGUGCGUAGGCCGCACGGCAAGUCAGCGGUGAAAUCCCGGAGCUCAACUUCGGAAUUGCCUCCGAUACUCCCGUGCUUGAGGACUGGAGAGGAGUCUGGAAUUCACAGUGGAGCAGUGAAAUGCGUAGAUAUUGUGAGGAACAUUAGUGGCGAAGGCGGCUUUCUGGACAGUAACUGACGCUGAGGCGCGAAAGCUAGGGGAGCAAACAGG